rnacentral:tRNA from 1 species
GCCCAAGUAGCAUAGUGGUAGUGCGCGACCUUGGUAAGGUCGAGGUGGGGAGUUCAAUUCUCCCCUUGGGCU